CAGCUGAUGCUGCAAUGGGAGACAAACUUAAAAGAGACCUCCAGAACCUGCAAAGAAAGAAAGCACCAGUAACCUCUACUCCAAUGUCAGAUGACUCAGAUAACACUGACAUUGACCUGUUUGAAAAUACAGAGCAGAGACAAUCAAGGAAAAGAAGCUUCCUGGGAUUGUAUCAUCUGUCAAAGAUGUCCUAGAGUCCAUGAAAAGAGGCCCAUACAGCUCAAGAUCAAGUUCCAGUGAGCUGUCUCUUGCUGAAUCCUCAGAAAUGAUUUCUCUUGCUGAUUCAGAUGUCACAGUGUCCAAGAGGAUGUAUGACAGACUGAAUAAGUCACGAGUUUCUCUUUUUAUGCAAGAACUAGCCACUCUAAUUUUUGGAAAAGAGAAACUAGCAAGAUGUACUCUUACAGGGAAAUUGG